rnacentral:rRNA from 1 species
UAGAGUUGAUCCUGGCUCAGAUUGAACGCUAGCGGGAUGCCUUACACAUGCAAGUCGAACGGCAGCACAGACUUCGGUCUGGUGGCGAGUGGCGAACGGGUGAGUAAUGUAUCGGAACGUGCCCAGUAGUGGGGGAUAACUACGCGAAAGCGUAGCUAAUACCGCAUACGCCCUACGGGGGAAAGCAGGGGAUCGCAAGACCUUGCACUAUUGGACGCGGCCGAUAUCGGAUUAGCUAGUUGGUGGGGUAACGGCUCACCAAGGCUGACGAUCCGUAGCUGGUUUGACGAAGGACGACCAGUCUCACACUGGGANACUGAGGACACGGCCCAGGACUCCUAGCGGGAGAG